rnacentral:rRNA from 1 species
UACGAAGGGGGCUAGCGUUGUUCGGAAUCACUGGGCGUAAAGGGCGCGUAGGCGGCUUUAUAAGUCGGGGGUGAAAGCCUGUGGCUCAACCACAGAAUUGCCUUCGAUACUGUAGAGCUUGAGACCGGAAGAGGUUAGUGGAACUGCGAGUGUAGAGGUGAAAUUCGUAGAUAUUCGCAAGAACACCAGUGGCGAAGGCGGCUGACUGGUCCGGUUCUGACGCUGAGGCGCGAAAGCAUGGGGAGCAAACAGG